GACUGGGAUAACUCUGGGAAACUGGGGAUAAUACUGGAUAUUAGGCUAUGCCUGGAAUGGUUUGCCUUUGAAAUGUUUUUUUUCGCCUAAGGAUAGGUCUGCGGCUGAUUAGGUCGUUGGUGGGGUAAUGGCCCACCAAGCCGAUGAUCGGUACGGGUUGUGAGAGCAAGGGCCCGGAGAUGGAACCUGAGACAAGGUUCCAGACCCUACGGGGUGCAGCAGGCGCGAAACCUCCGCAAUGUACGAAAGUGCGACGGGGGGAUCCCAAGUGUUAUGCUUUUUUGUAUGACUUUUCAUUAGUGUAAAAAGCUUUUAGAAUAAGAGCUGGGCAAGACCGGUGCCAGCCGCCGCGGUAACACCGGCAGCUCGAGUGGUAGCUGUUUUUAUUGGGCCUAAAGCGUUCGUAGCCGGUUUGAUAAGUCUUUGGUGAAAGCUUGUAGCUUAACUAUAAGAAUUGCUGGAGAUACUAUUAGACUUGAAGUCGGGAGAGGUUAGAGGUACUACCGGGGUAGGGGUGAAAUCCUAUAAUCCUGGGAGGACCACCUGUGGCGAAGGCGUCUAACUGGAACGAUCUUGACGGUGAGUAACGAAAGCCAGGGGCGCGAACCGGAUUAGAUACCCGGGUAGUCCUGGCCGUAAACGAUGUGGACUUGGUGUUGGAAUGGCUUUGAGUUGUUCCGGUGCCGAAGGGAAGCUGUUAAGUCCACCGCCUGGGAAGUACGGUCGCAAGACUGAAACUUAA
rnacentral:rRNA from 1 species